UACGUAGGGGGCAAGCGUUGUCCGGAAUCAUUGGGCGUAAAGCGCGCGUAGGCGGCCCGGUAAGUCCGCUGUGAAAGUCGAGGGCUCAACCCUCGAAUGCCGGUGGAUACUGUCGGGCUAGAGUGCGGAAGAGGCGAGUGGAAUUCCUGGUGUAGCGGUGAAAUGCGCAGAUAUCAGGAGGAACACCUAUUGCGAAGGCAGCUCGCUGGGACGUUACUGACGCUGAGACGCGAAAGCGUGGGGAGCAAACAGG
rnacentral:rRNA from 1 species